rnacentral:rRNA from 1 species
UACGUAGGGGGGCAAGCGUUGUCCGGAAUCAUUGGGCGUAAAGAGCGCGUAGGCGGUCCGGUAAGUCCGCUGUGAAAGUCGGGGGCUCAACCCUCGAAUGCCGGUGGAUACUGCCGGGCUAGAGUCCGGAAGAGGCGAGUGGAAUUCCUGGUGUAGCGGUGAAAUGCGCAGAUAUCAGGAGGAACACCGAUGGCGAAGGCAGCUCGCUGGGACGGUACUGACGCUGAGGCGCGAAAGCGUGGGGAGCAAACAGG